UACGUAGGGGGCUAGCGUUGUCCGGAUUUAUUGGGCGUAAAGAGCUUGUAGGCGGUCUGUCGCGUCUGCUGUGAAAAUCCGGGGCUCAACCCCGGACUUGCAGUGGGUACGGGCAGACUAGAGUGUGGUAGGGGAGACUGGAAUUCCUGGUGUAGCGGUGAAAUGCGUAGAUAUCUGGAGGAACACCGGUGGCGAAGGCGGCAUCCUGGACCGGCAUUGACGCUGAGGCGCGAAAGCUAGGGGAGCAAACGGGGAU
rnacentral:rRNA from 1 species